rnacentral:rRNA from 1 species
AUACGGAGGGUGCAAGCGUUACUCGGAAUCACUGGGCGUAAAGCGCGCGCAGGCGGCUAUUUAAGUUGGGUGUGAAAGCCUACGGCUCAACCGUAGAACUGCAUCCAAAACUAUUUAGCUAGAGUGUGGGAGAGGAAGAUGGAAUUAGUUGUGUAGGGGUAAAAUCCGUAGAGAUAACUAGGAAUACCAAAAGCGAAGGCAAUCUUCUGGAACACUACUGACGCUGAGGCGCGAAAGCGUGGGGAGCAAACGGGAUUAGAAACCCGGGUAGUCC